AAACAUUCUGCAGUUAUGCUAUCUCAAUACGGCAUCGAUUAAUUGUAUUUGUCGUCUCUAUGAUGGCAAACUCACGAAUCUGAAAAAUUAUAAAUUUGUGAUAUCGCAAAGUAAAAAUAUUGAUAUACUAUCAAUGAUUAAGAAGACUUACACUUGCUUAUGGCACACCAAUAUUGCACCACAUCAAUGCACAUUUAAAGGAAAAACUACGAAAGUUUGAAAAAAAAAAUACAUAUGGAUCUGCAACGGAAUAUACAGAAAACCCGAAACCAAUUAAAAGCACUAUUAUUCCAACAAACUCUUGUACAAGGAAGCAAACAUAACUAGAAUUCAUAAUUUUCUUAUAAAAUUGAUUCGAAAUCAUUAUGAUAAAGCACAAAACAUUCUUGAAAAUGGUUUAAUAUCACAUAUAUUCUAUUAAAUAAAGAAUAUGGAUGGUUGCACAAUCGCCUUAGUAACAUUUAUAGAGCUGACAUUAUCGAAAUGAGAUAUUCAACUGUAAUGAAAAAUAAAGCAAUUGAUGAAAGUAAAAAUUGUUGCUGAAAGAUCGGAAGAUUUUGCUGUUACUAUGCAGUUUGCGUAUUAUACGGUAUAAUAAAAGUAGAUUGUAGAUUACUAAAAAGAGAUAUGGGGAAAGGAACUCCUCCCAUAUAACAAUCGCAUUCAGCCAUGCCUUAUUGGAGCCCUUUCAUAUUCUAUUUUUUAUAAAUACCCGGCGAUAUCACACAGGAAGUUGGACAUGAGCUCCCCCAACGCUUCAAAAGACUAUAUUUCAAGGGAUAAUCCAAACUCAUAAAUGUGCGAUGCCUAAUAAUAUUUGUGCGUGAUCCAGUAAAUUGCAUUGUAUAGGACGGAGAUAAAAGUAUUUGGUCUGAAUAUGGAAUUGGAAAGAAUUCGCCAGGCAUCGGUUGAACAUAGAAAGGUUGUAUUAAAAAAUGCAGCACUGAAACAUUGGUCAUGAAGAAUAAUAUUGGACAUUGUCAUCUGGACGUAGGUAAAAAUGUUGAAACUGGCAAUAUUUUUGUGCCUAUACUUUAACAAAAUGGGAAGUUGAGAAAACAAAUACUAUCGCAUUCGUCUUUUACUGCUUCCCAAUUUUUAAUGAUGAAACUAGAAAGCAGCAAUGUAAACGCAACUCA